AUUGAACGCUGGCGGCAGGCCUAACACAUGCAAGUCGAACGGUAACAGGAAGCAGCUUGCUGCUUCGCUGACGAGUGGCGUACGGGUGGGUUAUGUCUGUGAAUCUGCCUGAUGGAGGGGGAUAACUACUGGAAACGGUAGCUAAUACCGCAUAAUGUCGCAAGACCAAAGAUGUGGACCUUCGGGCCUCUUGCCAUCGGCUGGGCCGAGAUGGGAUUAGCUUGUUGGUGGGGUAAAGGCUUACCAAGGCGACGAUCCCUAGCUGGUCUGAGAGGAUGACCAGUCACACUGGAACUGAGACACGGUCCAGACUCCUACGGGAGGCAGCAGUGGGGAAUAUUGCACAAUGGGCGAAAGCCUGAUGCAGCCAUGCCGCGUGUAUGAAGAAGGUCUUCGGGUUGUAAAGCACUUUCAGUGGGGAGGAAGGGAGGAAAGUUAAUACCUUUGUGCAUUGACGUUACCCGCAGAAGAAGCACCGGCUAACUCCGUG
rnacentral:rRNA from 1 species